rnacentral:rRNA from 1 species
CGGACUGUCGCUCUGCACGUAGCUGGUUCCUUCCGAAUCUUCUUUUUGGUGGCAGAUGAUGGGUUUGGGUGUGCACUUUUCUUCUGAAAGACGUAGCGAUCCAUUAAAAAAGUGAAAUCCUGUAUAUAGGCCCAGAUAGGAGUUUAUACCUUAAGCGGGUAUAUGGCUUUGUUGUUAUGUGAAGGCCUGUAAACUAUUUGGUGUUCUUACAAAUGUCUGAGGGUAUUUUGACUGUAUGUCCCAUACUAUCUUCGGAUUGAUAUCCCUUGCGGAUAUAAUGCGGGUUUAUCUGAAAAGUUUUAUAUUUAGGAUACCAUCAGGACCCGUCUCGAGACACGGACCAAAAAGUCUAACUUGUAUGCCUUUCAAUGGGAUUAUUAAAACCUAUAGGCGAAAUGAGAUUAACUUGUUAGUGGAAUUACGAAUGGUAUUAAUUAUACUAUUUUUCCCUCCCCGGGUAUCUUAAUGUAAGUACUUGUACUACAAAGAUAUACCGUGAGCAUACAAGCUGUGACCCGAAAGAUGGUGCACUAUGCCUGAUCAGGUUGAAAUCUGGGGAAACCCUGAUGGAAGACCGUAGCACUUCUGACGUGCAAAUCGAUUGUCAGAGUUGGGUAUAGGGGCGAAAGACCAAUCGAACCAUCUAAAAACUGGUUCCUUCCAAA